rnacentral:pre_miRNA from 1 species
CAUACUUGUUCCACUCUAGCAGCACGUAAAUAUUGGCGUCGUGAAAUAAAUAUUAAACACCAAUAUUAUUGUGCUGCUUUAGUGUGACAGGGAUA